UUGAGAUUCCACAUCACCCCAUUUAGGAUGGCCAUUAUCCAGAAAACUAAUAGCAACAGUUGCUGGUAGAGAUGUGGCCAAAACUGAACACUACCUAACUGUGGUUGGGAGUGUAAACUUGUUCAACCACUCUGGAAAGCAAUGUGGAGGUUCCUCAAAGAGCUAAACACAGGGCUGGGGAUAUGGCCUAGUGGCAAGAUUGCUU